GACUGCUUCCCCGCUGUUGGGACUCGCCGUAGAUCUCGUUCCAUGCCAAUUCCCAAUUUAAUAGCAAACAAGAUAAAUCUAGUCUAUUACUCACCAUUACACCCGAAUUUUUGGGUGUAUUGGUCCAUUUCACAGACGGACAU
rnacentral:snoRNA from 1 species